rnacentral:lncRNA from 10 species
CCCAAGGUUGUUAUAUCUUCAUGUCCUCAUUUCUUAGGGAGGUACCUUCAGAACCAAUAGUGACCCCUAACUUCUCUGGUGGUCGGUUCCAUGAAAGGCAAAGGAGUGUGAGAGAGGAGUGGAUGGUCAACCUCCCACUGCCAUGGUAACAUGGGUGCUGGCUGAUGGGAGCAGAAAAUAAUUUAGUGAAAGUCUGUGGGGGCAGUCACAAGAUGUCUGAGAAAACUGGCGAGCCAGCUGCUGAAAACAGGGACAAGGAAGCCUCCGUGGCUGGAGCCCAAAUCACACUGCAGACCCAGACACCGUGACCACCACCAUGGACUCCAGAGAGAGCAGCUUAUAGUACUCAAUCAGCUGCCACUACCACCAUCCAGAACACCAGAUGUUGUAGCCAUGGCUGCAGCAGGAAUGGAUGUCCCACUGUCCCUGCUCCUCGGUGUGACUUGCUCCCAAGUUCAGGGCAGGUCCAUCUGAUUGGCUGAGUCUGGAAUAUCUGCCUGUGCCUCAGCUGUGAGGGAGGCAGGGAAAGUAAGCCUUUUCAGCUUCUGUCGUGGGAGGUGGGCUCUGCCUCCUACCAAGAAUCAAAGGGUGGAGGAUCUUCAAACACAGGAAAAGAACCCGGAUCCUGGCACCCCCAAAUUUUCAGAGUCCAUUUCAGAGCAUAAGAAAUUGAGGGUCCAAGAUCAUUCAUGUAAGAAGUUUAGAGGGGGAAGAAAAGAAUGAUAAACGAAAAGAACAGCAAUAGUAAAGGAUCUUUUCUUUGUUUCAGUAAGAUGAAGAGGCCUGAGCAGUUUCGUGGAGGGGAAGAAACAGGAAAACCUCUUCAAAAGACAAAAAGCUGGCACUGCAUUCUCUCUCUGUAGCAGGACAGAACUGUCUAAAGACAAGACCCCUUUGGCCAAAAUAAAGGAACCUGAAACAUUA